CACGCAGGCGGUUAGAUAAGUCAGAUGUGAAAUCCCCGGGCUCAACCUGGGAACUGCAUUUGAAACUGUCUGACUAGAGUCUUGUAGAGGGGGUAGAAUUCCAGGUGUAGCGGUGAAAUGCGUAGAGAUCUGGAGGAAUACCGGUGGCGAAGGCGGCCCCCUGGACAAAGACUGACGCUCAGGUGCGAAAGCGUGGGGAGCAAACA
rnacentral:rRNA from 1 species